UACGUAGGUGGCAAGCGUUGUCCGGAUUUACUGGGCGUAAAGAGCGCGCAGGCGGUUGAAUCAGUCGAGUGUGAAAGCCCCCGGCUCAACUGGGGAGGGUCAUUCGAUACUGAUCGACUCGAAGGCAGGAGAGGGAAGUGGAAUUCCCGGUGUAGUGGUGAAAUGCGUAGAUAUCGGGAGGAACACCAGUGGCGAAGGCGACUUCCUGGCCUGUUCUUGACGCUGAGGCGCGAAAGCUAGGGGAGCAAACGGG
rnacentral:rRNA from 1 species